CCUACGGGAGGCAGCAGUAGGGAAUAUUGCUCAAUGGGGGAAACCCUGAUGCAGCAACGCCGCGUGGGGGAUGAAGGUCUUCGGAUUGUAAAGCCCUGUCGUCAGGGAAGAUAAUGACGGUAUCUAAAGAAUAAGCACCGGCUAACUUCGGGCCAGCAGCCGCGGUAAUACGGAGGGGGCAAGCGUUACUCGGAAUUACUGGGCGUAAAGGGCGCGUAGGCGGGAUAGGAAGUCAGAGGUGAAAGCCCAAGGCCCAACCCUGGGACGGCCUUUGACACUGGAAAACUGGAGUGCGGGAGGGGUAAGGGGAAUUCCUAGUGUAGCGGUGAAAUGCGUAGAUAUUAGGAGGAACACCAGUGGCGAAGGCGGCUUACUGGACCGAAACUGACGUUGAGGCUCGAAAGCGUGGGGAGCAAACAGGAUUAGAUACCCGGGUAGUC
rnacentral:rRNA from 1 species